rnacentral:snRNA from 1 species
AUUGCAUCCCAGCCUUUUGGCUAAGAUCAAGCGUAGUAUCUGUUCUUAUCAGCAAUUAUAUCAUUAGAUUCUCUCUUUGUUUUAUUUUUACAAAAUCUUA